GCACGCGCAGUCACUCGCCGGCCACGCCGACUGCUGUUGUCUGGCCUCGUCGGGCUGGGCCGUCCACCGAGCACAGGCGUAUCCCUGCUGAGGGCCCGCGCGGGCUUAGGCUUCCAGAUCGACGGGUGGGGACGGCCGCUGAGCGUGCGAGCAAGUCGUUGCUUUUCCGAGUCGCUCUUUUCCAGGCUCGGUCCGGUGGUCAGCAUGGCCCGCGGAAAUCAACGAGAACUUGCCCGCCAGAAAAACAUGAAGAAAUCCCAGGAAAUUAGUAAGGGAAAAAGAAAAGAGGAUAGCUUGAGUGCCUCUCAGAGGAAACAGAGGGACUCUGAGAUCAUGCAACAAAAGCAGAAGGCAGCCAAUGAGAAGAAGUCUAUGCAGACAAGAGAAAAAUGAUGACUAUUGGAAAACCUGGGUGCUGCCGCUAACUAAGUGUAUCAUAAGCUCUAUGAUCAAGAUUUUGUAGCGUGAACAGUCAGUACAUAUGUUAUAUCCUUAUACAACUAUUUUACACGUUACCUUUCAGCCUGACUUAGUGUGAUGUUUCAGAACCAUUCUUCAAAGAAUAAAGCACUAACCAUGCAUGUGA